CUAGCUCAAAGGGUGAGGUUGUCCUCACAUAUUUAUACACUUCACAUCCCGGGAACCUAAGCAAUCCUGGGUCAAAUGCCCACAUUGCAGUCCUUAACCCGGCUCUGAUACCAUGUUAAAUAUGCUUGGAUCUCAUCCCCAAAAGCUAGCUCAAAGGGUGAGGUUGUCCUCACAUAUUUAUACACUUCACAUCCCGGGAACCUAAGCAAUGUGAGACUUCAAACAAUUUCCAACAACACAACAACAUAUUUAUACACUUCACAUCCCGGAAACCUAAGCAAUGUGGGACUUCAAACAAUCUCCAACAACACAACAACAUAUUCAAC
rnacentral:lncRNA from 1 species